CCUACGGGGGGCAGCAGCAAGGAAUUUUCCCCAAUGGCCUGACGGCUGAGGGAGCAACGUCGCGUGCAGGACGACGGCCUUCGGGUUGUAAACUGCUUUUCGAGGGGAAGAGCCUGACGGUACCCUCGGAAUAAGCCCCGGCUAACUCCGUGCCAGCAGCCGCGGUAAGACGGAGGGGGCAAGCGUUGUCCGGAAUCACUGGGCGUAAAGCGCACGUAGGCGGUUCGGUGCGUCGGCGCUGAAACCUCUGGGCUUAACCCAGAGACGCGUGCCGA
rnacentral:rRNA from 1 species